UUUGACACGAGACGUGUUGAAAUAAGGAACCGUCUGUUGCAGAGCUCCUCGCCUUGUUUUGGACUGAAGUCUGCACCUCGCAAAAAAACAUGUCCGGCAGUACGUAUUCUUUUUCUGCAGAUAUGACAAAAGUUCUGGUAUUAGUUUGACAGAAACAUGUCCGGCAACAGGAGGCAGGCCAUGCUGGUUAUAUCCACAGAAGAUGAAUGGUCCUCCUUGGUGUCUCUGCUGGAGGGAAGUGUCCCAGAUGAAGAACAGCAAUUAAGUGCUGGCGGAAAUGUCAUAACUUGGUGCCGGAGGACCGCUUGAAUCAACCUACAUCAUGCGAAUAUUAAAAGAAGACAUGACAGGGGAGAACAUCAGCAAUGUGAUGGAUGGGUGCUUCACAUCUUGGAAAAAUGGAGUAAACACAGUCCUGCUGUUGAUCCAAGGUGGACGGUACACACCUAGACGAAUGAAACUGGUGGAGAUACUGCAGAUCCACUUUAGAGUUGAGGCCCUCAAGUACCUGGUGAUAGUCUCCCUGGAAGACAGCAAAGCGGUGCACCUGUUGGACGACGUCCUCUUGGACCUGAUCAACACAUGCGAUGGACGCUUCUGCAGAACUGACCUUGCCCUUCGCCAGGGAAGAAGCCGGCGUGCUGGUCAGCAUGGUGGACAACAUGCUGGCCAUGAGCGGCACUGCGGGCUACGGCCGAAGCGUGCUAGCCGAGGCCAAGCGGCGGGGCGAUGAGGACGCGGCCAUGCACAUGCUGAGGCGGAAGGUGCGGGAUGCGAAGGAGAAGGUGCAGGCCUUCGGGCGUGUGGUCAGCCAGAGAGAGGGCAGGCGAGCUGAGGAGGCGAAGGAUCUGAGGGAGAGGCAUGACAAGGUUAGAUGCAAGGAGGCCGCCGAGAGGAGUUAAUACGAAACCAAGAAGGACAGCCUGGAGGAGGCUGUGGUCAUCCAUCGAGCCACACUGCACCUCCAGAUGAAGCCAGAGGACACUCGCCACCCGCUUGUAAACACUAACAGGACGCAUCAAAUGGAGAACUUCUUCUGAUUCGAACAUUGAUCGCAUGCUGCAGGUGUGUCACCUUAUCGCCACUCUGUUAGAAGAAUACCUGAGUCCAAUAACGCCGUUCCAAAACUCACAAUAUAUUAUAAAAAGUACCGUUUUUGUUUAACUUGAAUAACAAGUUAGUGCUCUUUGACCAUUUGGUCAUUUAUGAAAACAUAUGUAUAUGUAUGAGAUGGGAGGUUGUGUGUGGGGUUAGUGAGUCCCAACUAACGUCUAUAAAAUGCACACAAAGAACCGUUUGCACCUUCUCUUUUGACUGGCGGGCGGUCAGCGCCAUAAAGCUGAGCGAGUCCCUGGGUAAAUGGGGCGCGGACAACAAACAGGACAGACUAAGUUCAACAGCCCAGUAAGGCAAUUAGUCUAGGAGAAGGAUCUCUGAUAUGAAAUACCCCUUCCAACCCACACCAAGCCAGUGUAGAAGGUGUAGGCUAAUAACCAGCAUGAAAAGUACGCCAAAUGGCAGAAACAUGCUGAGGCUUUCGUCCAGCAGUGGACUGACAACGGCUGAUGAUGAUGAUGUACAACACAGCAGCAACAGAACCAUUGUUGUAGCAAUCUGCAAAGUCAGCAUUAAUAGUGCUAAAAAGUAACGUGCAAUAGAUUUCUCACCAACAACUGAGUCUAAAACAUGUUGUUAAUUUGAUCGGAAUGACCUAAAAU